rnacentral:tRNA from 1 species
CACUAUGAAGCUAAAAUCAGCAUUAACCUUUUAAGUUAAAGAUUGGACGUAGUUAUCCCAUAGUGA